UACGUAGGGGGCAAGCGUUGUUCGGAAUUACUGGGCGUAAAGGGCGCGUAGGCGGCCUACUAAGUCGGACGUGAAAUCCCUCGGCUCAACCGGGGAACUGCGUCCGAUACUGGUGGGCUCGAAUCCGGGAGAGGGAUGUGGAAUUCCAGGUGUAGCGGUGAAAUGCGUAGAUAUCUGGAGGAACACCGGUAGCGAAGGCGGCAUCCUGGACCGGUAUUGACGCUGAUGCGCGAAAGCUAGGGGAGCAAACGGG
rnacentral:rRNA from 1 species